ensembl:lincRNA Gm29591 predicted gene 29591
UUAUUCUUUUAUUUCAUUCAUUUCUCCACGAUGUUGUUCUCCAUCAGAACUCCUUCUUGAGUUCCCAUUUAAAUAUUCUGUGUUAAAAGCUUGAAUUUCUCUAGUGAAAACUUUAGCAAAGGCUAGCAUGGAUGUUUGGUGUGUCUAUUUUUUCUUAGUCGAAUAAUAGCAAACACAUGUUGAUAGGGCUAUUAAGGAGACAUAUUUUCCAGCAGCUGUUGACUUCAUCAGUUCCACUAUGCAAUGAGUCAUUUGAACUUCUAGAGCCACACAGUUACAACUGAAGAAGUGUGGGUUUCUUUUAUUUUCUUAAAUCAUGAUGAGAGGAUUGGGAAGAGUUAGACAUGAAGAAAAUGAA